GACGAACGCUGGCGGCGUGCUUAACACAUGCGAGUCGAACGAUGAAGCCGGAGCUUGCUCUGGUGAAUUAGUGGCGAACGGGUGAGUAACACGUGAGUAACCUGCCCUUGACUCUGGGAUAACUGCGGGAAACUGUAGCUAAUACCGGAUACGACUCUCGGAGGCAUCUCCUGGGGGUGGAAAGAAUUUCGGUCAAGGAUGGACUCGCGGCCUAUCAGCUAGUUGGUGAGGUAAAGGCUGACCAAGGCGACGACGGGUAGCCGGCCUGAGAGGGUGACCGGCCACACUGGGACUGAGACACGGCCCAGACUCCUACGGGAGGCAGCAGUGGGGAAUAUUGCACAAUGGGCGCAAGCCUGAUGCAGCAACGCCGCGUGAGGGAUGACGGCCUUCGGGUUGUAAACCUCUUUUAGCAGGGAAGAAGCGAAAGUGACGGUACCUGCAGAAAAAGCACCGGCUAACUACGUGCCAGCCGCCGCCGUAA
rnacentral:rRNA from 1 species